AUUGAACGCUGGCGGCAGGCCUAACACAUGCAAGUCGAGCGGUUGAGGUAGCUUGCUACCGAUGCAGCGGCGGACGGGUGUGUAAUACAUGGGAAUCUGCCUGGUAGUGGGGGACAACGUUUCGAAAGGAACGCUAAUACCGCAUACGCCCUACGGGGGAAAGGGGGGGAUCUUCGGACCUCUCGCUAUCAGAUGAGCCCAUGUCGGAUUAGCUUGUUGGUGAGGUAAAGGCUCACCAAGGCGACGAUCCGUAACUGGUCUGAGAGGAUGAUCAGUCACACUGGAACUGAGACACGGUCCAGACUACUACGGGAGGCAGCAGUGGGGAAUAUUGGACAAUGGGCGCAAGCCUGAUCCAGCCAUGCCGCGUGUGUGAAGAAGGCCUUAGGGUUGUAAAGCACUUUCAGAGGGGAGAAAGGUCAUUCACCUAAUACGUGAGUGAAUUGAUGUUACCCACAGAAGAAGCACCGGCUAACUCCGUGCCAGCCGCCGCAGUAA
rnacentral:rRNA from 1 species